rnacentral:rRNA from 1 species
UACAGAGGUCUCAAGCGUUGUUCGGAUUCAUUGGGCGUAAAGGGUGCGUAGGCGGCGCGGUAAGUCGGGUGUGAAAUCUUGGAGCUUAACUCCGAAACUGCAUUCGAUACUGCCGUGCUUGAGGACUGGAGAGGAGACUGGAAUUUACGGUGUAGCGGUGAAAUGCGUAGAGAUGCGGAGGAACACCGAUGGCGAAGGCAGCCCCCUGGGCUGACACUGACGCUCAGGCACGAAAGCGUGGGGAGCAAACAGG